rnacentral:misc_RNA from 1 species
UCCGGUUUGUCACCGGCAGUCUGAAGUGAGUCCCCAACUUAAUGCUGGCAACACUUCACGGGGGUUGCGCUCGUUGCGGGACUUAACCCAACAUCUCACGACACGAGCUGACGACAGCCGUGCAGCAUCUGUGCAUGGGCUCCGAAGAGCGGCCCUGAUCUCUCAAGACCUUCCCAUGCAUGUCAAGCCCAGGUAAGGUUCUUCGCGUUGCGUCGAAUUAAACCACAUGCUCCACCGCUCGUGCGGGCCCCCGUCAAUUCCUUUGAGUUUUAGCCUUGCGGCCGUACUCCCCAGGCGGGGCACUUAAUGCGUUAGCUACGGCGCGGAAAACGUGGAAUGUCCCCCACACCUAGUGCCCAACGUUUACGGCAUGGACUAC